AGGACAAAGGCACUCAAUAGUUCACCCCAAGUUCCCCCAAAAUUUAUGGAGUCUUUCCUUUGAAUUACUGCUUGGCAUACCAGUCUGGAUUUUCAUCAUCCAUGGUGGGGUUAGGCUCUCUUUGCCAUCACAUGGGGUCCUACAGGAUUAGCACAGUGUCAUUUGGAAGAUCAUUUGUUGGAGUGGAUUUUAAUCUUCAAAGGUCAGAAGUUGGCUCUUUCAAUGAAUUCUUUGGUCUUCCGUCUGCUCUCCCUAAUCUUACAUGUGUAAUAGCUAGAAGAUAAUAUUGCAAUUUCUGCCACCACAAUCACAGUGCGGCUAUUCUUGGAAAUGUCAGAAAUAGAAGGACUCGAGGGUCAAGUAAGAAUGGUUCUGGCUCUACAUAUAUUGCCUUCCCAUUCCUAAUUACUCCUUUUCAUCAUGUAUUUCUCAUGUGGACCCUUAACCUUUAUCAAACUCAUGGGUUAAAUUUUCUCAGGUGUACCAUCAGAGGCAGGUUCAAGAUAGCACCAGAGAGUAAGAAGAAACAAGGAAGAAUUUGUUUUAUUCUGGUCUUUUUAUUGCCUAGAGUCUAAAAUCUGAUUCCUAUUGUCUUGCCUUGGCUGAGCAAGCCUGGAAGGUGACUGGAGUCAUGCAGAGCUGAGAAGAUGGCUCCAUGAUGAAGAGAUUACAACACAAGCAUGAGGACCAGACUUCGGACCCCGAGACUGUGUCAAGAGCCAGACAUGGUGGUGUGGACCUGCAGUCCAAGCACUGGGGUGGUGACAAAUAGGUAGAAGAGUACCAAUGGUCAUCUGCUUGAAUUAUGUCAUAAUAGAGCCAGAAGCACAGACUUGGACCUAAUGUGCAGACUGAGCAGUGAUGGCCAGGAAGGGAGUCCAUGACACAGAGUUUUAAGGACCACCCUAAGCAUCAAGUCUUGCCUACUGCUUGACCAAUGAAACAGUGAGUUUAUCUCUGUGGUGUCAAUGUAUUGUCAUACUGAAAAUUUUAACUUUGCUUCAAGACUUAGAAUUCUGUUUCAUCAAAGUACUCAUUAAAUUCCACAGGUUGUUUUUAGACAGUGUGGUGGUUUAUUUUCAUCUUACUUUUCUUCUAAAAAUAAAUUUAUCAGCAUCUCCUUGCAUCUAGUAACCUCUGACCGGACAGACUUGUCACUGUUUGUUGGGUGGGACCUUAAGAGGAGAGACUUUCCAACAGAGAUGAUCCUGCAACUUCAGGUCAAGCUCAGCCACAGGGAGAGGGAAGUUUUGGACUGUGUUACCAAGUGGAAAAACUACAUCAAUGUUUAUUAAUGAAGUAAAAUGGCCUCAACUGGUGCAAAUGAAGGUGUAAUAAGUCUUGGAAUAAAAAGUGACAUUAGACCAAGGAAGAGAGAAGAAGCCCAAACAGAAGAUGUGUGCCAGUCAGAAAGGAGAGGGAAUCCUUUGCAUGUCUGCCAUUUUUGUGGUACUGAACUUACUGGCCUCUGCUAUCUGAGUCUCUGUACUGAGCCCACUGUGUAUGUGGCUCCUCUUCAAUGUCCUCUUUAAAUGAUGCCUCACCAAGGAGACCUUUACAUCAGCACUUCCUAACGAUACUUACUCUGACUGCCUUUCUGUGGUAUGUGUCAAAACUCCCUGACGGAUUGCAUGGUUGGUGAUUUGUCUAUGUCAGUCUAAUAUGGGUAAAAUCCAAAGCUCUAUGAGGUCAGAGAACUCAUCCUUUGGGUCCACACCUGUAUCAGCAGCAUCUAGGACAGUAUUGCUCAAUGAAUGUUUAUGAACUGAAGGGAAAAAGUUCCCACUCACUCUCUGUCCAGCUUCUUGCCCUUUAUCCUGUGGGUUAACAUCAGUUCACAGAAUUUCUACACAGGUACCUCAAUUGUCAGCAGAAGAGGGUUCUGACUCAAGUCUGGACUAGAAACACCACAGGACAUGGACUCAAGCCCAGCUCUACUGUUUCUCUUGUGUGCAGUGUAAACUUCUUAAAGAUAGAGACAUUCUGCUCUACAAUAUCCAACAUUAAUCACGUGGACCAAUGGAGGACUUGAAGUGUUGGUAGGGCAAUUAAAAAACCGAAAUUUUAAUUUAAUUCCAUUUGUAUUAAUUUAAAGCAGCCACAUGUCCUUAAUGCUACUGCACUAGACAACAUAAUCUAGCUGUGUGAUCCUGAGCAACAUGUCUUAAUUUCUCUAUGCCUGUAUUUCCUUUUCAAUGAAAUGGAAAUAAUAAUAGUACCUCAUAAUAUUAUUAGGAAUCAAUCAGACAAUGUGUAAAGCCCUGGGGUAUAUAACAUGCACCUCAGUAAUCACACUAAAGACAAAAAGAGCUAGUUUGCAGUAAUAUUAAACCCUUACUCAGAUAUGAUAAUAAUGUAUAUCUAACAUAUAAGGAAGCAUACAGAAACAUAAGCACUGCAAAGUAAUAAGAUCAUGUCAAAUAUGUGAUAAGUUGGAAAUUAGGGUAAAAAUAAGGGAAAUUUAGGAAGAUGGGCCAACAAG